AAUUUAGCAAGUACCACAGUGAGUUAAAUUCCAAGUAAAGUGGAACUUCUGUUUAAAACCCAUGGUACUUAGGUUUUUAAUAAGUGUUUAUUAGGAGAAUGAAUAGAGUUCAUUGUAAGAGAAGAGGUAAAGAGAAUAGGUGUAUAAAAACUAAGGUCAAACUCAUUAUACAUAUUCAGAGUUUACCCAAGAAAAAAUAACAUUCCACAGGGUAAGUUAUUUACAAGGAAAGUCUUCUUGAUGCAAUUAGCCUCUGUGAUUCCCAAUCCUAUUAGCCUGGACUCUUAGCGUGAUUGCAUGGAUUCUCCUGAUGUCAUUCAUCCAGGAUAGGGUUUAAGUUUUGCAAAGAGCUGUUGCUCAGCAAUGUUUGAUUAAGUAAAGUACAAAUGCUGUAGUGCUAAGUAUCUGCUUAACAGUUGGAUCUUUAAAGCUUUUGUACUAACUCUUUGAAGCCAUAAAGUCAAUUAUGGAUUUGCAUAUCCCCAUGAUAAGACAGUGAGACUGUCAUGGAUGAUGAAAGGUUAUGGCCUUAUAAUGCCCCAAGAAAAGAAGACUUCUGCUAAGAGACAAAGCUGUACCAGAGUCGAGGGUAUAAUUCUUCAAUCCGCUAAAAUUACAAAAAAUUUCAAAGUAUCACUUCAGAUCAUUUUUCAAGAUGUGCUUGUUGACCUUCUAAAUUAGAUGGUAUUUUUCUACUUUCAGGAAAUGAACAACAGGCCCAAUAAUUUCGGAGUGAUUUAUGAGUAUCCAAUGCAAUGGCACACUAUGGACAGACUUUAUGUGAACAAAUCUGAAAAAAAAAUAGUUUGUUCUGGUAUAUCUUGGGUUAUCAUAAGCCACCACACCAGAACAAAAACUGCUUCUUUUUAUAAUAAAGCUUCAAAAAGGAGAUUAGGUAUAUUUGCUUCAAAAAUAACAAUUUGAAUUUUUUAAUGAGAUUUAUUUUUCAAAUUUUAUUUUUCAAAAUAAAGACCACCAAAUGCCUCAUUCUUAUAGGAAAUCUAAAUAGAAAAUAUACAAAACAUAAUAACUCCUAUCAUCCAAUCCCGGCCAUUCUGAGUCAAUUACUGAUGCAUUUUCAUUCAAUUCUUUUCACGUGCUGAGUCUCACUUGAGGAAAGGGACCCGCGUUAUGGAGUUGGCAAGUGCCAUUAUAGCCUCAAAAGUGCAAGAGUACAUUUCUGGGUGCUGUUCACUCCUGCUAUCGUCUUUCAUCACUCCCUUUAGUGUCUGCCUCAGGCGGAUCACCUUGACUCUUUAAUCAAAUUAAGAUUUCAAAUGCCAUUUCUAAAACUUUUUUUUUUUUUCAAACGCUAUGUAAUCAGGUGACAGACAUCCGCCUGCGACAGGACAUCUGCCUGCGACUCAAAACAUUCGAGAGUUUUUCCUGGUGAAUUCAGUCUCACUUCCUGCCAAAGUAAACGAGUUCCUGUGCUGGCCGUCCCGCCCCUCCGAAUCCUCGGGAGAAGCGGGACUAAAGGAUCAAGCUGAAGUGAAUGUGUAGCCCUGUGACCUCAGCGCGCGGGGGCGGGGCGAUCGCCGGACACCCCCGCCCUCCCCGCCUCCAGCGCGAGUGACAACCCGGUCUCUGGCUCUGGAGCUGCGGCGCGGAACAAGCCCCGCAGGGCCUUCCCUGGCCGCCAACACACCACUCCCGGAGCUGAUUCCCUGUGCCCAGCUCCUUUCUUGGCGAGGCUUCAGUCCCUUAGUCGGCCUCAGUCUGUCCACCUUCGGAGAGGUCUGAGCGCUAGCCGGAGACAGGUAGACACCGAGAAGUGACAGAACCCAGAGGAAGCUGGAGAGAGGCAGCGAGGAAACGAGGGCCCGGCGGGCAGCAGCAUGAAAUUCAGCCCAGUGCCCUACCUGCUGCCUCUCCUGCCCGCGCUGGUCCUCAGCACCAGAUGGCCAAAUAGGAACGGCUCCGGUCUGCAGCACCCAGCAAGACCAACGCAGAAGGCAGGAGCCAAAAGGAAGCACUUCAUCUUUUUAUGAUUCCCUGGUGUUAUGAUCUCAAAAAUCACUUAAGCUUUACACAUUUGACCCUGAAUAAACUAGAGUUUACAAACCUUAAGCUGUGAGUCAUGGAGCAGAGACAAUUAAAGU
rnacentral:lncRNA from 1 species